UACGUCAACAUUGAAGCCUUUC
rnacentral:miRNA from 17 species